rnacentral:rRNA from 1 species
CCCCCCUGCCUUCAUUCUCUCCAUUUGUUUUUCUUAGGGAGGAGCGUGCGUCACAUUAGUUAGUUGGCAGGGUAAAGGCCUACCAAGACUAUGAUGUGUAGCUGGACUGAGAGGUUGAACAGCCACAUUGGGACUGAGACACGGCCCAAACUCCUACGGGAGGCAGCAGUAGGGAAUUUUCGGCAAUGGAGGAAACUCUGACCGAGCAACGCCGCGUGAACGAUGAAGUAUUUCGGUAUGUAAAGUUCUUUUAUUGAAGAAGAAAAAAUAGUGGAAAAACUAUCUUGACGAUAUUCAAUGAAUAAGCCCCGGCAAACUAUGUGCCAGCAGCCGCGGUAAUACAUAGGGGGCGAGCGUUAUCCGGAAUUAUUGGGCGUAAAGGGUGCGUAGGCGGUUUAAUAAGUCUAUAGUUUAAUUUCAGUGCUUAACACUGUCCUGCUAUAGAAACUAUUAGACUAGAGUGAGAUAGAGGCAAGUGGAAUUCCAUGUGUAGCGGUAAAAUGCGUAAAUAUAUGGAGGAACACCAGAGGCGUAGGCGGCUUGCUGGGUCUUUACUGACGCUGAGGCACGAAAGCGUGGGGAGCAAACAGGAUUAGAUACCCUGGUAGUCCACGCCGUAAACGAUGAGUACUAAGUGUCGGGAUUACUCGGUACUGAAGUUAACACAUUAAGUACUCCGCCUGAGUAGUACGUACGCAAGUAUGAAACUUAAAGGAAUUGACGGGACUCCGCACAAGCGGUGGAUCAUGUUGUUAAUCGAAGAUACACGAAAAGCGUAACCAUGGCUUGACAUACUCUGCAAAGCUGUAGAAACACAAGUGAAGGGAUGGGGAUGUCCUAUAGAAGAGAAGGU